GACAGGGUGCAUAAUGGUUAGAGUAUUGCACUAAAGUUGGAGAAACCAUGGUUCAAAUCCACACUCAGUCA